UGAGGCUGUCGGUCCAGCCCAGCCUCGAACUCACAGUGAUCUGCCUGUCUCUGCCUCCCAAGUGCUGGGAUUAAAGGCGUGCGCCACCACCGCCCGGCCUCACAUACAUGUAUUUUAAACUAUUAUGCAAUUAGAUUAUUCACAGCGCUUUGCAUUCACUGCUAAUACUUUCACAAAUGCUCUCCCAAGUGUUUCUGUAUGUGGCAUGAACCAGAUCCCAGCGUUUUUGAUGAGCUGUUGGCUUGGUGGCAGAGUCCUCCCAACCUGUCACAUGCUGGAGUACAAAAGAACUGCCAUUCUUUAAAACUUGGACUCAGAAUGCCUGACCUGAAUCCCCAAGAGUCUACACUUCAGAAAGCUCCUUGGGGUUUAGCAAAAUGAGCAUCUGUGAACACUCUUUAAAUAGCAUUCAGGUCUGCUAUUUUCAAAGACAGACACACAUAGAAUUUUUGAAAAAUCAGACUACAUUUUGAAGAAUGUGUUUCUCAGAGACAUAACCCUUGUGAAUAAAACAGAAUGCCCCCUGCUCCCAUCCUUGCAAAAGGAUGAGGCAGCUGUUUCUGUACUACAUCUUGGUGAAGGCAGGAUCUUGGCCUGCUUUUAGCACACAGAAAACUAACCCACUGAACUCUUGGGACUGAGUUUUCUUUCUGCAUUUUUCCGUGCCCCUAGCCCUGCCCAUUGACAUUUGUUCAGAUUAGUCUGUUCAAGUCAUGCAGUAACCGACAGCUACUGGAAAGCAUGUCAGUAGGGCUCCUAUUCCACAGCACCUCUCGGGAGCUGGGCUGGGUGGUGGGCAAUAGCUACGCACCCCCCUCGGGGCCAAACACUGCCCCAACAGCUGCCAUGCUUUCAUCUGGUAACCAGAAGCGGCUUUAAAACCUAAUACCAUUGUGUUUGUUGUCACAUUAUGAAUAAGGAAAGUGACUUGAAGAGGCUAAGUUGCCCAAGGUCACGUGACCGGCCAGAGUGAAACCAGAGCCCCCUAGGACAUGCCUGCUUCUACUCCCUGGGGAGAAGCAGGCAAGAUAGAGGACACACCCACACAUCCACACCCACACCCCCCCCACACACACACACACACUACAAGGGGAUUAUGUAAAGGAUCUAAAGGAAGGAGGGACAUAACUGUCUUUCUCCAGGAACAUGUCUCUGAAGGGUUGGAUUCAUUUGUGAUCCUGGGAACAGCAGAGAGAACCCAAACCAUCUAGGUAGGUUGUCACUAAGUGUCAACUCCAUGAACCCUCAGCAUCAACCACUUUUGUAUAGUCCAAGUGUCACUGGAGUGAGUUAAGUCUCCAUUUUCCCUGAGACCUUGACACCUCAACACCAUAUGCUUUCCCUAUUUCUCUGCCUUGGUCAGCAUGAGCAGCAGAAGCCCAGGAUGGACCCCGAUUUACUCCAUCUCACUUGGAGCUCACUAUCUGUGCAACCCAGGCGUAUAGUGACUGGGAUGGCCCAGCAAGGUAGUGCAGCGGCCAAGAGAGGAAAGCCUUUCCUGGCUUGCUCUAUUCAUUUUUCAGACACUCUGAGGGGAAGCUGGACUUUCUAAAUGUGUUCAUAUCCAGGAAGAGAAAACAACUCUUAAAAUCACAACAGCAACACCCAUGACACAGCAGAACCGGGAUCCUAGAGUUCCCCUCCUGCUUCUCAGCUCCACCACACUGGGUUUGAAAACUAUGGCCUGUGCGGAAAAGCCACAGUGCCUUUGUCUGGGGAUUUUCUUUGUCAUCUGGCUCUUUUGCUGGUCUACUAGCUAGCCGUUCUCAUUAUAAAAAAGCCCCUUUAGUGUUGCUGUACUGUAGAGCGUUCUAACCAUCUGUUGUUGAGCUUUGGGAUUCGUUGGUUUUUUUGUUUUGUUUUUUCUGUUUCUUUCUUUCUUUUUUUCUUUUUUCUUUUUUUGACUGGUUGUGGUUUUUUUUUUCUAGAAACUCACAGUUCUUCUGAUAUGUAUUAUAAUCUGUCAACUCUGCUCACAGACUUUUUGUUUCGGUUUCUUGUUUCACUGCCUACAAAGUCCCCUGGCAAAUCCCUCCUCAUCUAGUGUCAUUAGCCUGACAUAGGUGAAGGUCUCCCUCCAGGGGGUGAAUUUGUCCUUCUUGGCAAUAUCUCUUUCUACAGGUUUGUGAGAGGGGGGUCUUAGUGUUACUUUAAGUUUCUUGAAACCAUUUUAUUUUAUCAAAGUGGGCCCCAAACAUACAAAACAUACAAAAAAAUGAUUGGGGGGCCCUCCUGAGAAAACACAUAUCCCCAAGGCCCACCUCUGAGACUCUUAGCUAGUACUAAUGCAGUUGAAGGCCAGAAAACUGCAUUUGUCCUAGAUUUCCAGAGAAUUUUAGAACAGAUGCUCCCAGAACCACAGACAGGCGCCUGGACAUCAUAUAGCUGCCGUCUUCCCUUCCUGCUCCCGAUCAUGAAGUGCAGGCAUGGCUGUAGAGUCCUGCUUCCUAUCGUGUGUUCACACACAUGACCUUACUCUGUCCCAUAAACAGAAUCAGGAUUUUCUUCUGUUCUCUAAUAAAACAAUUUAAGUGGAAACCAUUUAACAGUGAUAAAACAUGACAUGAAAGAGGAAGAGGAUAAUAAAAUGUCUCCAGAAUCGAGACAUUUAAUACAAUUGUGAUUAGUUACAACAUGACAUUAAACACCACCAACUGUUGCCAGCUCCCCAACCCUCUGCAUGGGAGUGGCGAGGUAGCCCCUCAGUUUGGUUCCUUGCCCACAGCUCCUUCCUUCACAGUGGUCUACCUUGGGCUAAGUCAAAGCACAUUACGGUCUAUAUGAAUCAGUUCUCUUGAUGUACAUAAAUGCUCCUACUUAGAAGUCUGAAAGGAGACGCACCCAGAUUCAGAGAAUAGCGUGACUCACACGUAUGAUGUGCCCAUGGUUGCACACACCCAAAUAAGCACACAGACUCUUGCAUUGAAGUUGCUGUAUUUUUAAACAUGGCUUGUCUCUUCUAAGAGUCAUAUGCUAAUUUGAUUUCCUUUUUGGUGGUGUUGUGAGGUGGAGCCUUUCAGGGUGGUUACAUUAUUAAGGAGGAAUAAUGCCAGUCUCCAGGGAAUGGAUCAUUUUUCACAAGAACAUGCUGCUGUAAAGUAAUGCUUCCCCUUCUGUUUUGUCUCUACUGUUCAUACCUGUUUGCCUAUCGAGCUUGAAGACAACAGAUGCAGCUGACCAAUCUUGGACUUCCUAGCCUCCAGAAACAUAAGCUAAAAUAAACCUUUCUUCUUUAUAAAGUGUCUCGUGUGUUCCGUUAUAGCAUCAGAAAAUGAAAUAAGGCAGACGUCUACAGGCAUAUGAGCAAAGAUGUUCAUGUAUGUAUAUUUGCACUGGUGUGUAUAUAUGUUCAUUCUUUUCCGUGUGUUUCCAUUUUAAUAUGUAGAACAAGAACAGUCUUAAACACUCUCCUCUGCACAUACACACCACACAGAUUCCUAGACAUACGUCUGUAUCCUUCAAGUAGGUAAAACAUGCCACAUCACGUAAUCAUAGUCAUACUACUAGCUAAGUGUACACAGGUCCAGGUGCCAGCCCCCCUCCCCAUACAAGUGUAUACACCCUUUAUCCAUUACAUGUUUACUGAAGUCUUAUUAUGUGCCUGGAAGAUCUUAGGUACUGAAAAUUGGUGAAUUAACAACACCAACAAAAGUUUACUUUUUUCCUGUUGGUACAUUAUGGGAAAGAUAAUUCUUUAAAAAGCAUACCCACUUCCCAGUGCAUCUCUCUCUCUCUCUCUCUCUCUCUCUCUCUCUCUCUCUCUCUCACUCUCACUCUCUCUCUCUCUCACUCACACACACACAGACUAAAUAGACUGUGGGACUAUAUAAAGUUGCAAUUAUAAUAGGUACUAUGAAAGUAAUAUGGAAUGUUUAGAGAAUUCAACUAAUUCAGAAUAGUCUGUAAAGUUACCCUCAAAGAAAUGAAGAUUCAGCAGACAUCCAAAGGAUAAGUAGAUAACUCCUAGAAGAGGGCAGAGAGGGAAGAAUGCCACCUGAAGAGAAGGGCAUGUGCAGUGUCUUGUGUUAAGAGGAAGUCUCUUUUAUCAGAGAAACCAAGUACAUGUAAGUAAGGGCACCUGACACACGAGGAAGUAGCUGUGGUGUCCCCGCAACUGCAGGCAAGGGAGCAGCCACACCGUGAAGAGUCUCGGGUAGCAUUAGGAUCUCGGUCUUUAUCCCAAGAGCAUGUCUACACCAAUGAUGCAUUUACCACAGCGGUCAGGUCUAUAUUUUGAGAGCUAUCGCUAAAGAUAUAUUUAAAGGGAUUUCCACGCACAUCACUGCACACAGAAGAUUUACAUAGCCGAGUGCUUUCUUUAAAAUGCAUAUUUACAUACAUAUUUAUUACACUGUCUCUCACAUAUCUUACAAACAUGUGUCACAUAUAAGACCGGAGAAAGAGAGAGCACUAGAGGGCACUGAGGGGCGAGGAGCACUCUCUUUACCAGGCCUAAACCAGUCCUUGGGGGCAAACCCUGAAAAAGUCAUGGAUUUGAAAGGAGCGCUCUGCCUCUGCUGCUUCCUCUGAGUUUGGCUGACUGGCAUCAUGCAUGUGCCUCCAGCACUGUUCCUCCUCCUCCUCUUGGCUCAGAGCGUCCAGUGACAAGGUGGGGUUUCUUCCAGAACAUGAUCAUUGACUAUUCUUGGCCUGGGCAAGGAGAGGAGGAUGGGCAGGUCAGGUUGCAUAAAGAUUGCCUUGUGCCUUCUCAGGGCUGUGAGCAGGGCCUCUGGCAGCCAUGAGCUGGUGAGCUGGUGUACUCUUAGCACACAGUGGGCAACCCUAAGCUGUAAACACAAGGCACAAUGGAGGAAUCAGGGGACUUGAGGACCUGCUGGCACAGCAGUAGGAACAGCCAUGAAGCUCUGUGACAUGUGACAUCAAUGAUGGCUGUGUCCUUUUCUCCAAUGGGGGUAGCAUCUCACAGUGGAGGAAGGAGUAGGGAAUUUAUCAGCCAUAGCACGUGCAUUGGAACGAUGCGUGUGUACAUUUGGGCUCCUUUUUAACAGCAAAGCCAGGGAGAGCCUUGGACAGAGCUAAUGACAGACUCCAGGGAGAUCAUUGAGACAUUAGGUAGGAAUUAAACUUACCUAGAGCUCCUGUCUUCAUAGAGCUGUCUCUGAGGGAUUUGUUGAUAUCCCAAGGAUACCCAUUCAUAUUUUGUUUUCCAAAAUUAUCUUAGAAAAUGUUUUCUUCCAUAAUUAAGAGGAAUUCCAGAAUAUUUUCCUUUUGCUUCAGGCGGUGUAGGAAACAUGUUUCUUUCUCCUCAGUUGGGCACUGUUCUUUAUAAUCCUGGUGGCAACCUCCCAGCCUCAUCAAAGCUGCUGAAGACAGCAGGGUUCAAGUGGACACUGGGUAGCGUUGAUUCUCCAGGCCAACCCAUUACUCCACAAUUUACAAAGGAUAUUCUAGUGGCCAUUGUGUCUAACCCUCACCACAACCCUAAGGUAGUACAGGAACUCCAUCUUACAGACAGGAAGACUGAGGUUAAAAGACUAGCCUGAGCACAGGGCAGAGCUGAUUUUCAAUUCCAAUCUUCAUUCUAAUCUUUCAAAAACACCAGUUCCAUGGUGUUCCCAGUCUUUGUCACUCUCCUGAGACCCAGGACUCCUCCCCCGGGGUCCUCUGCUUUCUUAGUCAGGAUUAACAGUGCCCCCAGCCUUGAAGCCACAGGUGCCAAGCUAAAGAUAAGCAGGCGGCUGCCCCAGGGACUGUCCUCAGAAUGCUGUUGCUGAUGAUAAGUCAUGAGCUUGGUCAGCUCUAGCAAACAUGGCUAAGAGCAAAGCCCCCAAAACCCUCCGUGUUCUGUUUGUUUACUUGCUCCCCACUGUGAAGUGACAGAACCCCAGGUCCCACCCCCCCCAUGCCUGUCCAGAGGGGACCUCAGAUUCCAAGUUCAGGACAUCUCUGUAGGAAGACCCAGCUGAUUUGCCCCAACCCCACACCCACUGGAGAUGAUCCAACCCAUUUUAAGGGCCAAGUUCCACACCUCAAUUAAAAAAGAAAAAAAGAAAAAAAACUGCAGGCUCCGGGAAGUAGUUCAACUUCUUCUUCAAAACAGCUUGUGUGUGGUUGAAAUGUUUUAUUUUAAUCAUAGCAAUUAGAUGUUCUUGUUUUGCACAACAUCCUUCAACAGAAUCGCCUUCAGCACAGGUGAGUGGCAUGUACAUUAAUAGGUUUGGGAAAGUCUGGGGUGGAUGACACAUCCCAGAGUGGAGGAAAAGGGCUGGCAAUCUCUUCUCCAAGUAUUAACCAAUAUGGUUUACCCAGCUUUCCAAGGGAGACUGUGAGUAAUUCAUUCAUUCAUGCUGAACACUUUUCCAUGCCCAAGCCGUUGCUAUCUCCUGGGGAUAGAGCAGAGAGAUGCAUGGCUUGUCUUGCUUUUGUUAGUUUCAGUCUAAAUAGGAAGACAGACAGUGAGAAGAGACUUAGAAAUAAAAGUAUUUAGGGCUAUUUAGCAAUAGCACAUAGCCACCUAGGGCUCUAAAAUUAGAAUUCAGCAAGACACACACAUACUUAAGAGCGUGGAAGAAGGGUGGGAAAUGGUCUUCUGGAUUUUGCUGGCAGAUUCAAAUAGGUAUAUGGUGUCUGUCAACCUCAGACUGGACUCUAAUAAUCCAUAAAAAUUUAAUUACCUCUCCCCUAAAAAUAUCUCACGGAAAAGCAGUGCCUCAGUAUUGGUCUGUCCUAUUCUGCAGGGGGACAACAUGGCCAUUUUUUUUUCAAGUAAAGGGAUGUCAGAUUUGGCAAAUUAAAAUGGAGACCACCCAGUUAAAUCUGAAUUCCAGAUGUACAGCAGAUAAUUUGUUUUGUAAAUUUGUCCUGAACUUUGCAUGAUUCAUGCAUGUUUCCAUGCUAUUCAAAGGUAACUGACCACCAGGUGGUAAUGGUGCACACCUUCAGUUUCAGCACUUAGGAGGUAGAGACAGGUGGAUCUCUAAGUUCAAGGCCAGCCUGGUCUACAGAGUGAGUUCCAGGACAGCUGGAACUACAUAGAGGGAAAAAUCGGAGAUGGCAAGAAAAAUCUCUGAAUAAGUAAAUAAGUAGCAGGGUUACACAGCUUUCAGCGUGGGAAUAUAACAGCAAGUACCUAGAUGUGCAGAAGGAGUUUCUAAAGCCAUAUCUCCUAGUGCUUACGGGAAUCAGCCAAGGGUAAACUAGGGGAAAGCAAGGCUCCAAGGUCAAAGGUUUAGGGAACAGUCUGUCCUGUAUUUCCUUUUUGGAAUCCAAGCUCUGGCCGUGUCAUAAAAGCUCUGAGACCCUUACAGGAAGUGUACCUGACUGGCCUGGUUUAACCUGGCUUGCCCACAGAUGCUAUUUAUGGAGCCAGUUUUAUCUGUUUGUUUUAUAAGGACACCUAGUAACAUCAUGCAAACCAACUGCUCUCCUCAGCACACUUUGGAGAACACCAGCAUUAAAACUGAAACUUGUCUUCAUAUACCCAGUGGGUUGCUGGGUAAGGAGGAAAUGGAACUCAGAUGCUAUAAACCGAAGGGCAGAUACUUGCUCAAGGAAUGCAGCCAUCUGGGAAGCAGGUGCUUGGUCCAACAUGAAGUCUAGACCUUUCUAACAGUUGGAACGGUACAGAGCUAAUGAGUAAAUUUCUGGGGACUUACUAAAUCAGAAAUGGAAUCUUGCCGGGGACACUAGAGGAUACCCUUGCUCUGUGUAGGAAGCUCUCUCUGACGGCUGCGACAAUGUAGCUUCAUUUAUCCCUGUGUUCUGUAUCUUUUCUGAAACCUAUAUCCAUCCCUUCUAUGCCUCCCAUUAACACAGUACCUAACAUCUGUAAGCCAAACACUUUUCUUCUCAGGGAUGUCAGUCCUCUAACUGGAAUGACCCACGCUCUCAUCUAAGCCUUUUUAUAGUCUAAUCACCCUGGAACUCUGGGAGGGGCUUAUCAACUUCGGAUGUUCAUACCUAAAGCUUGUGACCCCACUUGGCAGAGAAGAAAGAGUGCAGAAGAGUCUGUAUUGUGAGAUUGAUCUUGUGGAAUUUGAUAGAACCCAUAUUACUGGGUAUCCGAGACAUGGGGAAUAAGGUAUUCCAACACGGUUCAAGUCCCACCUCUACCACUCCUGGCCUCUGUGACCUGGAGAAAGCUUCCAAACCUGAGUGAAUUUUAUUUCCCCUUGUAAAAAAAAAAUAAAGUCUAAAGCGACAGUGCCUACAUUUCCCUGUUUGGAAAAAUGAAGAGUGACAAAAGGGACAAAAAGAACCCCACAGACUUCCUGCAACCGACACUCAGUAAAAGUUGAUGUUGUGAGUGACUGUGUUUAUUCCUAUCCACACAGGAGCAAGCUUCCAGGGAACUUGAGACUUCUUCAGAAAGUCACUAAUCCGUGUGCCAAAAGAUCAGGCCCCAACGGAAGGGAUGAGCUGGAGAUCGCCUGCUCUCUAACACCUUCCUUUGAGAACACUCUGGGGCAAAGAAAGUAGGAGAAAACACAUUAAAAGACAACAGUCCUUCCUCCUCCAGCGUGGAAAGUAUCUGCAGCCUUAACCACAGUCCCUAAUCCUCCUUGACGGUGAAGCAAAAAGUUGCUGGAAGUUUCCUUGAGCUGUGCCUUUGGAGGCGCAAAUGCAAUUCUUCCAAGAAUGCUACCCAUGCACACCACUUAGCAAAGGAAAGCAUCACAAACUGAACACUUCACGUGUGUGCCAGCGUGUGCAAAGGUGCCCUGAAAUCACUUUGACUGACAUCUGUUCUUUGGCCGUGUUCCUAUAGUAAAGACGUAAAUCCCAGAACUGUCUGGAAGGAAAUAUGCUGGGUCCACUGGCAACAGCUUAUUUUCUGUCUGCUGGGUGUGACUCUCACCCUACCCCCAUCUUCAUCCUCCCCAUCCCUCACUUGAGGAUCUCUGAGCUCUGUGUCUCUUGGGAAAGUGUCUCUGAUCUAUUUUUGCCUGGGUUUGUGCACUCUCCACACGGAUUAUCAUCUGGCUGACUCCAGUUUUGAUUAGUUCUUUUGUCUGAUCGGUUCUGUUUCCUAACAUGAGUUCCUGCGGCCCACUGCAGUCCUUCUUGGAUUACAGGAGCAUUGGUUAAGGUAUCAGAGCAUUUGUCACAGUUUCUGCAGGGAAUGCUUGUCCCCUCAUCCCCAGCCUACCCUACUCAUGGUGCUCCUUGUCACUUUGGCACAAGCAGACGCCUUCUCCCUCACUACAUGACUCUGUAAGUGGAGUCUGGUUUUCACAUUAGCCAAGAGGAGGCUCUGAAGUCAGAAAUCCUUGGCCUAUGAGUCACGUUGUUUCUUUGUGCCUCAUUUCCCCCAACUAUAAAUAGGCCACGUCCCACACUUUCUCAUCUCCCAGUAUCCAAGGGACUAGUACAGGUGCUUGUGUGCAAACUGGGAGCUCCUUCCAGGAGCCGCUUCCGUUUUGUCCCAGGUGGGCUCUCUCUCUCUAGGAUCAUGACAUUCAGGGGUCUCUAAAAGUUCGUGUUUCUCUGUCUCCCUACUUUCUCUCUUGGCAGCUGCCUCUUUCGCUGUUUGCGUGUGAAGUUUCUGAAAUGCCAAGGCCAGGCUUUGCAGAAAGAGCUCUCUCUGUCUCCCUGUUGUCUUCAGAGUGAAGUCCUCAGCAGCUCCCCAGUUGGCCCAUUUUCUUUGUACACCAUUCACACUUGCAGUACUUGCUCCUAACCAGGAGCAGUCGAGUAAGAGGUAUUCAGCUGCAUUCCAGGAAGUGUCAACAGAACCCGUCUUUAACUUGCUAUGCCUUCUGUGGCUUCUUUCAGUCCAGCUGACUUCGAUGAUGACCUCAUCAUUAAGUCAAAGGUCUGUGGUUAGUAGUUAGUGGUUGUGCUUCUAAAACUUCUCGUUUGGAACACAAACUGAUGCCAGUGUUCGUGAACGGCUGGAGCUAAUCAAGGGAGAACAGAGGCAGGACCUGGUCGCCUUUACACAAAACUUUCCCUAUUGAAACCAACUAAUACCCGAGGACAGAAGAUUAAGGAAUUUCCAAAUACAGACCUAGAGCUUGCAGAGCUGAAAGGAACACAAAGACAGCAAACACAUUCUCUCCCUUUAUAAAGAAACUGAGACCUGAGUACUGUCUUGGCCCAGACACCCCAUAGCAAACCCUGAUGAAGACUGCACUGAGGGCUGACGCCACUCUUCACAGGCCAGGUGGAGUCAUUUCCAUGCAGAGAAGCUGAUAUCCUGCUGCAGAGUGAGUUUUGAACUGCAAGUACUAGCCAGAGUUCUUCAGAGGAGCAGAAUCGAUUAUACAACAUGCAUAUACACAUGUACAUAUGUGUGAAUGAUUGCGCAUAUAUGGGCCCCUGUGUCUGAAGAGUUUCCAUGAUUUUAGGAAAGGUACAAGUACACAAAAAUAAAGAUUUUCGUUUGGGAAGUCCUGUAGAAAUUGUGCGCCUUGCCCAUUGCUUGUGAUUCUGUCUGCAUGCUGGAGAAGUGAAGUGCUCACUGGCUGCUUAGUCCUGAAACUGUGUGUCUCGGAACAAGUACUCGAUGAUGCACCUCUCAUGCAAGGCUAUCAGCCUAGAAACUCCCUGGAGAGUUGCUACGGUGACUCAUAGUCAAAGGCUCACGAGGUUGGGGUCUGAUUUGGACGAUGGCAGCUGCAAAGGACACACUUGCUCAGAAAGACGAGCUUGCAAGUGCAGGGUAGCCUCCUCCAUUUUCCAUUUUUAUUCUUCAUGGCGGUCGGCCUACUAGUUAACAUAACCCAUGCUCAAGAUGAGUCUUUCUCCCUCAGUUGGUGCCCCACAAGUCAACAAUCUCAGAAAAUGGCCUACCAACACACCAGGAGGUGUGUUUUACUAAUCUUUUUUUUAUCCCUCCAUCCAGUCAAUUAGCAAAGAUUAACUGCCACGGUGUCCAAAUUAAAAGACAGAGAUUUGAACUGUAAUGUUUUCGAGAAACUCACGAAGGACACAUUGUAAGUGAUUGUCCAGUUAUCAAGCUCACCUAGAGAUAGCCGAGGUUGUAGACUCUCAGCUUUCUAACUUCAUCAGUAAAGAUUUUCCAGUGAACCUCUAAUACGUGACGAUUUACUGUGGCCAGUGCCUUCCCAAGACAGCUAGACUAUUCUAGGGCAGAAACAAAUGCAAGACAAUACCAGCAGCUGUUCUACAUUCUCAUUACAUCCUAAUGAAUUAUCUUCUGUGCCUCUUCUGGAAACCACUCUGCAAGAUCAUUGUUUUUCACCCAAAAGGAAGGCUCACGGCUCACCAGUGGAGCAUGAAGUCCAUUCAUCAAGCUGCAUUUACCAAGUCUUAAACAAAUUAGAAAACAAAAAGCAGAUUGCAUAGGCUGGGUGACUUUUACCUAGUGAAGCAUGUUUUCAAGUAUUGUGAGAAUACGUGGUUUGUCUGGGGAGAUGGUGUCCUAGGUGUUCUACAAAGUGUGACUCCAUCGGAGUCAUCAGCCUAUUACUUCCAUGAUCCUUAAACUCAUAACUCAACAUUAUGGUUGCGCACAAAUGAUUAUGGCUUGCUGAUCUAAAGUGGGAAAAUGAUGUAGGGAUGGAGAGAUGGCUCCACGGACCCAGUUCCCAACACCCACCAGGCAGCUCACAGCCACGUGGAACUCGAGUUCCAAGGGAUCCGGCACUCUCUUUCGGUCUCCACAGGAACUGUAUGCACAUGACACAGUUACAUACCUUCAGACGCUAACACAGACACAGAAAACUAAUAAAAUAAAAUGCAAUCAUAA